rnacentral:rRNA from 1 species
AGAGUUUGAUCCUGGCUCAGGAUGAACGCUAGCGGCAGGCUUAACACAUGCAAGUCGAGGGGCAGCGGGGAGGAAGCUUGCUUUCUCCGCCGGCGACCGGCGCACGGGUGAGUAACACGUAUGCAACCUGCCCCUGUCAGGGGGACAACCCGCCGAAAGGCGGGCUAAACCCGCGUACAUGCCACCGGGGCAUCCCCGGAGGCAGGAAAGGCUUCGGCCGGACAGGGAUGGGGCAUGCGGCGCAUUAGGCAGUAGGCGGGGUAACGGCCCACCUAACCGACGAUGCGUAGGGGUUCUGAGAGGAAGGUCCCCCACACUGGUACUGAGACACGGACCAGACUCCUACGGGAGGCAGCAGUGAGGAAUAUUGGUCAAUGGUCGGGAGACUGAACCAGCCAAGCCGCGUGAGGGAGGAAGGUACAGAGUAUCGUAAACCUCUUUUGUCAGGGAACAAAGGCGGGGACGUGUCCCCGGAUGAGUGUACCUGAAGAAAAAGCAUCGGCUAACUCCGUGCCAGCAGCCGCGGUAAUACGGAGGAUGCGAGCGUUAUCCGGAUUUAUUGGGUUUAAAGGGUGCGCAGGCGGUCUGUUAAGUCAGCGGUCAAAGCCCGGGGCUCAACCCCGGCCCGCCGUUGAAACUGGCAGUCUCGAGUUGGAGAGAAGUAUGCGGAAUGCGCGGUGUAGCGGUGAAAUGCAUAGAUAUCGCGCAGAACUCCGAUUGCGAAGGCAGCAUGCCGGCUCCACACUGACGCUGAGGCACGAAAGCGUGGGUAUCGAACAGGAUUAGAUACCCUGGUAGUCCACGCAGUAAACGAUGAAUGCUGGCUGUCCGGGGGGAUUGACCCCUGGGUGGCGAAGCGAAAGCGAUAAGCAUUCCACCUGGGGAGUACGCCGGCAACGGUGAAACUCAAAGGAAUUGACGGGGGCCCGCACAAGCGGAGGAACAUGUGGUUUAAUUCGAUGAUACGCGAGGAACCUUACCCGGGCUCAAACGGGGAGUGACUCAGGCAGAGACGCCUGUUUCCCACGGGACACUCCCCGAGGUGCUGCAUGGUUGUCGUCAGCUCGUGCCGUGAGGUGUCGGCUUAAGUGCCAUAACGAGCGCAACCCCCGCGUGCAGUUGCUAACAGAUAACGCUGAGGACUCUGCACGGACUGCCGGCGCAAGCCGCGAGGAAGGCGGGGAUGACGUCAAAUCAGCACGGCCCUUACGUCCGGGGCGACACACGUGUUACAAUGGGUGGUACAGCGGGAAGCCAGGCGGCGACGCCGAGCGGAACCCGAAAUCCACUCUCAGUUCGGAUCGGAGUCUGCAACCCGACUCCGUGAAGCUGGAUUCGCUAGUAAUCGCGCAUCAGCCAUGGCGCGGUGAAUACGUUCCCGGGCCUUGCACACACCGCCCGUCA